UUUUUUUUUUUUUUUUUUUCCAUUAGUGGAUGAGUUUUACUGUGCAAUUUUUUGCGUUAUUUAUUCUUUUGUUGGGACAAAGAAAGGUAAGAAUUUUGAUAUCAUGAAUAGUUAUGGGCAUUGGUCAAACAAAGAAUCAAUUGAAUCUCUUGUAAUUUGAUGUAGAACAUCCUGCAGGUCUUGGAAUUAGUGUUGAAACUUGAAGCUUUGUGAAGGCUAAAAUAAGCAGGAAUUUAGGUGGAGAAUUAGGGUUUGGAUAAAAUUGAGAAGCGAAUUUAAACAACAAGAGAAGAUUUGUGGACUGUGAACAGUAAAAUAAAAGGUUUAGGCCUAAACUUCCUUGGGCAUCACAGCCAAGGUUCCAUAGGCAUCAUGCCUAGGGUUGAAUUGCAUCACACAACUCGAAGCAGAAUUGCUAGAAUUCAUAUUGAUCAAAAACUUUGAAAAAAAGAAAAUUACAAACAUAGGUAUUUAUAGACUAAAAAAUAAUCCUAAACCUUGAAGGAUUUGGACUAUAUAAAGUAAUUCUUAACGUUUAAGUAAUCCCAAAAAAUAGUUCUUAACCAAUAAGGACUCUAAAUAAAGAUCCUAUAGAAAUCUAGAUCAUUCCAGAAAAUUUAAAAUUACAAAAUUAUCCUUGUGACUUAAAUAAAUGGCCAACAACUAAUAUUUUUGAAUAGACAUAUAGGUAAGCUGUAAAGAAUUAGAAAGUACUCUAUAAUUUUCCCAACAAACUCUAAAUUAAAACUGAACUAUGAUCCUAAGCUUCUUGUGUAGUUGAUCAUGAAAUUUCUUGAAUUCCUUGGCUGCAUCUAUAAUUCCAUUGUAGUCUCUAGUCGGUUAGGAUACUCGGCUCUUACCUGAGAGACUUGGGUUUGUUUCUUGGCAAAUUCCUGCUCAUUUUAGCUUAACAAAGCUUCAAAUUUUAAUGUCGAUUCUAAGACCUGCAGUCAUUCCUGCAUCACUUUGUCACGUUUUCUUAAAGUAACAUGGAUAUAGCUGCAGUCUCUUGUUUGUAUUGUACAUUAUAUUUCUAGUUGGUGUGUUGUUGUCAGUCGUCUACUAUCUGAAAUACAAGAUGUUAAAUGAAUUUCUCAUAUUAAAGGAUGGGCAAUAUUGUUAUCUUAACUGCUGUUAAGAAAAGUGCCAUUUUGAUUAUCUUGAUUAACACAAUUAAACAAAUUGGUUUUUGUAUUGAUUUUGAUUUCGUCAUAAAAACUUUAGAACUACAAAUACAUCUGUUUCAAACAACAUUUUGCAACAUCUGAAAUGGUGCUAUUUCAGAAAGCAGUUACAACCUCAAUAGCAAGCAGUCACUAUUUGAAGGAAAUUGAUUAUGCAUAAACUGUUAAUUCAUGAAGCUUGAUUUAUUCAUUUGUUCUGAUACACUAUUUAUCUUCUUGCUUCAAUCGAUUGUCUUCGAACUUGAAUCCAAAAACUCUUGUUAGGAUUGGAUUCAUCCUCCUUUUCAAUAGGCCUUUGAAUCCAAACCCCCCCACACCAACACCACCACCCCAUCCUCCCCCCCCCAAACAAAAGCCCUUGCCACCACCACCAAGUGGAAGCAAGAAGGGUUGUUCAUACGAUAGCAUUUUUUUUUAAGAUUGAAAUUUCAUUUUAUUUUUAUUCACUUUUAUCUUGAUUUUACUGAUGUAUUAAAUAAUAUGUUGAAAUGAGUAAAUCAAAUCAGUAUAGUACUUGAUAAUCAGUGUUUUCAUCUGAAGAACAUCUGGUUUUUCAGCAAAAAGCAUAGUACUUCCCAAGUAAUAUUUCAUAUAAUGAGGUAGUUUGAAAAAUGGACUAGUUUGAGAGUGUUUUCAUCUGCAAUUUUCCAUUUCUCCUUUUCUGAUGUCAGUAGUACUUGAGAAAGAUUUUAACCAUAGUCAUUCUAUAUUCCUUCUAGCAGAUGCCCAUUUAGGACCAAAAUCAUUUUUAACUUGCUAAAUACUAAUAUCUAAAAAAGUAAAAUUCUCUCUCACUUCCCACUCCAAUGACAGUGCGUCAAUUGUUUGCUAUUUCAGCACUUUCUACAGAAAAAUAAAAGUUGUUCUUUUGAUCCCAUUUGCAUUUGUUGAUUUGUUUGGAGUUUGAAAGGGAAGAAGCUUUAAGGAUGAGGAAAAGCUCCUAAUUGCUGUUGUGGAUUUUAUUGAUUCUCUCUCAACCAAUUGGUGAUUGUUAAUGAUAAAUUUACUUAUCCAAAUAAAUAAAUGGGAUAAAUAGGAUCACUUCUUAUAUUCUCGCUAUAGAUUUGCAUUUUAAUGUUCUUUGAGAAUUUAAUAUUUUAAGGUGAGACGAAACCUCGACCAAGCUAAGACAAUACUUGAGGCUCUGAUUAAGGUGAUCUCUUAUUGGAAAAUGCAAAAUAUCUCUGAAUUUUAAAUGAGUUUCAUUGUCAAAGGAAGCACUCAUUGGCUGCAAAUAAAUAUGCAUGCAGCGGGAGGAGAAAAAAAGAGAGGCGACGGAGACUGAAGUGAGCCUCCAAAGAAUCCAAAUGAAGUACAAGGUAUGUUUGUGUUACCACAUGCAUAAUCUGUGAUUCUUGUUCUUUUCUAUUUUCCCUUUUCUUUUAUUGGAUCAUCCUUUUAUUAUCCAAAAUUUUUGGUUGAACACUAUCCUAAAGAAGGGUAAAUGAUGAUCAUAUUUAGUUGCUAUUAGUAGUCAAGAAUCCUGCCCAUAGCUUUCUAUUUGUAUCUGGCUUUAUAAUGGUAUAUUACUCUAUUUCUUUCAUUUUAUUUUUUCAUAAUGAAUGGCAUGUGCAAGAUUUGUUAAUAAUGUUUAUAGAAAUGUGGGUAAGAGUUGUAUAGCACUAAAAAAUCUAAAACCAUUUUAUGAAAUGAAUUUGAAAAAAACUAAAAGGAAAUUCGUUAUAAAAAAAUUUGGAAAGGCUGGGAAGCACAUAUUCUCAGAGCCAGUGAUAGUCCUUCUGACUUCUUAUGUGCUUUAAAUUGUGUGCCUUCAGGCACAUGUAGCCUCAAGGCAUGGUGUCUGUAAUAGAUUUUAAUCUGCAUGGUCAAGGAUUCUUUUUCAUUGUUGAUAAUCUAAUUAUUCGUGAUUGAUGGUGGAUGUGGACUUCUUUUUUCUUAGCUAUUCUGUUUCUUGACUUAACAGUGCCGUUUAUUUGCCUAUUGUCUUGUUUGAAAUCUUCUAUUUGAUUGGGGUGUGGCAUUUUCUCAGCAUGAAACUGAGCUCCUUGAGUACAGCUUGGCCCUUCCUGGAUUCACGCCUUUGUCUUCCAAGUUUGCUUCAAGUGAAGAUGAAUUUGUGGAUUCAGAUGAUCUAGCAAGCAGCCGUCCACGUGCCCAAACUGCUGCAGUUCAAAAACCUCCUUUAACAGAUUCUAUCCUUACAGUGCCUGCAGGAAGCAUGAAGCAAGAGUUUAGGCGGCGACAUACACCAUAUGGUUGGCUUAAUAAAAUGGUAUGCACAAAGCUUUUUCAUUGUACAAUUUGCUAUAAAAUGGUACUCCAAACUCUCGAAAGAAUUAACUGCUGUAAAUUGCCAAUGGUUGACCUUGCCAAUUGCCAAUUGCCAUUGGCAUGUUGUAACCUAACUUCAUCGUCUUGGAAUAUCCAAUAUCAUAGGUGAAUUUUAUAUCUUGGAGUAAAUGCAGGAUCCUCUGGAGCCAGUUCUGUUGUUCACAAAGCCUCUUGUUCCAGAAAAGUUGGCAGCUGCAGGCAUUGUGCCACCAGUAGAUUCUUCAUCAAAGAAUUGUUCAUCUGCUCCUCCUUUCAGAUUUCAUGGAAGAAUUGGCCGAGGGGGACGGAUUGUAUUUGAUAGAUGGAACCCAUUUUUGCAAACUUCAAUAGAACUUGGCAAUUCUUUUUACUUCCCGCCAAGACCUCGCCCUUCAGCAUAUAAUUGAUAUUGUUACUUGCAUUGUCUUGUUGCUGUGGCUGAUGAUAAUCUGGAAAUAGGCUCAGAUGAUAUUUAUUGUAAUUAUUCAAUAUAAAUCAAGGAAUUUUUUAGGGAUUGCAAAUGCUAUGCUAGGCACUGUGGCAGGUAUUUUACUCUGGCAGCGAAGCCGCAAGCCACAUCUCAUGUAACGGUGUCUUCCUUAGCUCAUGUAUGUCAGAAGAGCAUGCUUGUGCUCUCUCCUUUGCUCAUAAUUAUUAGAAAAGCAUGGUUAUGUUUCUCUUCGGGUAGGCGCUUAUUUUAAUAUAAUGAGGCUCUUAGAUUGACCGAUACAGAUGAGGCCUUGGCUUUGAUUGAUCUCUUUUCAAGAGUGCUAAAUUCUACUAAUCGGCAUUUUGAACCGCUUUCUCUCUAUUGUGAAAUAUGCAUGGAUUCGAAUUGCCAUAAAAUUUUAA
rnacentral:misc_RNA from 1 species